CUUGGCAUUGUAAUAUUUUUCAAACCUCCUCUUGUACUUUUCUUCUUUGAUUCGAGCUUCCUCUCUAAUCUCCUCUAUAUUUUCUUGCUCUAUCAUUAUUGCUUCAUUUUCUUUAGUGUCAUAGUGCUUGAUUCUUGCUGAUGGCCAUAUUAGCUCAACUGGCGCGACUGCUUCGAGACCAAAAGCCAAAGUGUACGGGGUUUGUCCGGUGGCUGUCUUGUAUGUUGUUCUGUAUGCCCAUAGGACUUCUGGG
rnacentral:lncRNA from 1 species